UGGGGAAUAUUGCACAAUGGGGGAAACCCUGAUGCAGCGACGCCGCGUGGAGGAAGAAGGUCUUCGGAUUGUAAACUCCUGUUGUUGAGGAAGAUAAUGACGGUACCUAACAAGAAAGCACCGGCUAACUACGUGCCAGCAGCCGCGGUAAAACGUAGGGUGCAAGCGUUGUCCGGAAUUACUGGGUGUAAAGGGAGCGCAGGCGGACCGGCAAGUUGGAAGUGAAAACUAUGGGCUCAACCCAUAAAUUGCUUUCAAAACUGCUGGCCUUGAGUAGUGCAGAGGUAGGUGGAAUUCCCGGUGUAGCGAUGGAAUGCGUAGAUAUCGGGAGGAACACCAGUGGCGAAGGCGACCUACUGGGCACCAACUGACGCUGAGGCUCGAAAGCAUGGGUAGCAAACAGGAUUAGAUACCCUGGUAGUCCAUGCCGUAAACGAUGAUUACUAGGUGUUGGAGGAUUGACCCCUUCAGUGCCGCAGUUAACACAAUAAGUAAUCCACCUGGGGAGUACGACCGCAAGGUUGAAACUCAAAGGAAUUGACGGGGGCCCGCACAAGCAGUGGAGUAUGUGGUUUAAUUCGAAGCAACGCGAAGAACCUUACCAGGUCUUGACAUCCGAUGCAUAGUGCAGAGAUGCAUGAAGUCCUUCGGGACAUCGAGACAGGUGGUGCAUGGUUGUCGUCAGCUCGUGUCGUGAGAUGUUGGGUUAAGUCCCGCAACGAGCGCAACCCUUAUUGCCAGUUACUACGCAAGAGGACUCUGGCGAGACUGCCGUUGACAAAACGGAGGAAGGUGGGGAUGACGUCAAAUCAUCAUGCCCUUUAUGACCUGGGCUACACACGUACUACAAUGGCGUUUGACAAAGAGAAGCAAGACCGCGAGGUGGAGCAAAACUCAGAAACAACGUCCCAGUUCGGACUGCAGGCUGCAACUCGCCUGCACGAAGUCGGAAUUGCUAGUAAUCGUGGAUCAGCAUGCCACGGUGAAUACGUUCCC
rnacentral:rRNA from 1 species